AUUGCUUCUUGGCCUUUUGGCUAAGAUCAAGCAUAGUAUCUGUUCUUACCAGUUUAAUACGUGAUAUGUCCUCUUACCUGAGGACCAUGUAUUUAUUAAAUUGGGUUUUGGAACAGGGAGAUGGAUCAGAAGCUUGCUUUAUCCAUUCCAUGUAUAAAUCUGGUAUUGCUGUACUUCCAGGAAUAGUGUACUCCCC